GCCAAUGUAGCAUAGUGGUUUGAGUUCUGGACUAUGAAUCUGGAGGCCAGGGUUCAAAUUCCUGCUUAGCCA